rnacentral:rRNA from 1 species
CAAUAGCGUAUAUUAACGUUGUUGCAGUUAAAAAGCUCGUAGUUGGAUUUCUGGAGGGAGCGUCGGCCCGUAUUUACGAGUGCGUGACGUCUCUGUCCAUCCUUGCGGGAAGGCACGGCAUUGAUUUGUUGUGUCGGAUCGCAUCAUUUACUGUGAAAAAAUUAGAGUGUUCAAAGCAGGCUUUCGCUUGAAUACAUUAGCAUGGAAUAAUAAGAUAGGACUUUGGUGCUAUUUUGUUGGUUGAGCCUAAAGUAAUGAUUAAUAGGGAUAGUUGGGGGCACCUGUAUUGCGUUGUCAGAGGUGAAAUUCUUGGAUUUACGCAAGACAAACAGCUGCGAAAGCAUCUGCCAAGGAUGUUUUCAUUAA